rnacentral:rRNA from 1 species
ACACGGGGGGUGCAAGCGUUAUUCGGAAUUACUGGGCGUAAAGAGCGCGUAGGCGGUCUUUUAAGUCGGGUGUGAAAGCCCGGGGCUCAACCCCGGAAGUGCACUUGAAACUAAGGGACUUGAGUAUGGGAGAGGGAAGUGGAAUUCCUGGUGUAGCGGUGAAAUGCGUAGAUAUCAGGAGGAACACCGGUGGCGAAGGCGACUUCCUGGACCAAUACUGACGCUGAGGCGCGAAGGCGUGGGGAGCAAACAGGAUUAGAUACCCUAGUAGUCC